rnacentral:ncRNA from 2 species
CUCGGCUCUCGCAUCGAUGAAGAA